UCCUCCCGCACAACUAAGGCUGGGAGGCCGGAACCGCUGAAUCCUCGGCGGAACCGGUCUUCCAGCCUUUUUGUGCGACUCGU
rnacentral:pre_miRNA from 1 species